rnacentral:lncRNA from 1 species
GGAGAGACAAAGACAAGAUAACAAGCAAAUUAAUAAUUGCAUCUUUGGUAACUUUUCUGAAGAAAAUAAACAUUAGACUCGGUCAGAGAAUAAUGGUGAAAAGGUUGCCCUGGAAAAAGUGAUAAGGAACAGCCUUUUUGGGAUGGUGAAUAUGAAGAGUAUGAAUUACAAUGUUCCUGAAAAGCCACUUUCCUGAGAAGAACUGCAACAGAUUUUCAUGAUAUCAAGAAGGCUUUAUGUUCCUGUAAGAAAGUUUGGCUGUAAGUUCCUAUCAAGAUUCUACAAGAUUGUGUGACUGCAAAAAUACCCUUUGAAGUAGUUGGUCCAGAAACACUGAAGGUUUGUAUAGAAGAGACAGACCUUCCACCCUGUCUCUUCUAUCACACAGCAAUGACUGAUAAACUGGAAAAUUUAAAGAAGACAUAAAGGCUAAAUUCCAUGACAAAUCAUGUCAGUGGACUAGUCU